rnacentral:tRNA from 1 species
GUCUCAGUAGCGUAGCGGUUAACGCACGGCCCUGGUUAGACGCGAGGCACGGGUUCGAAUCCCGCCUGAGAUG